GAUGCCGUUCUCCAUACGACGUGUGUAUACGUACAUCAUGAAACAAUGAAAAGUGAUUAUUUUUAUUUCUGUUAAGUACAUCAUGAAAACAAUGGAAAGUGGUUAUUUUUAUUUCUUUGUUUCUUAAUAUAUUUAUAAAACAAUUCCUAUCGGGAAUAAAGUAUGUUAUUAAUUUCAUAAAAGGAAAACUUGCACGAUGUUGGUUAGCUGCAACAGUCAAUGAUAGAAUAUUCAAGCAAAUGUGUAAAUCGUCAACUGUGAAUAGAAUUAACCUCUGUGAACUAUGCAUGGAAAUAAUGAAUACGGUUCAAAUAGAAAGUAAUGAAACUAGUAGACGUUUUAGUUUAUAUUUAUCAUCGCAACUUAUGUAUGGAGCAGCAAAAAUUCUUUUAUAUCAGACCGCUAGUUUACAAACUCAAGUUUUUCAAAUAAAUAAAAAAGUAUUGUACCACAAAAGAACUGAAAUAGAUGAAAGAAAUACUGUCAUAAAAGAUUUGGGUUUAUGUAACAUAACUUCUGUAAUUCAAGAUUUUAAUGAUGUUCAGUUGGAUAACACUUCACCUGUUGUUCGUGAUGAAUUUAACAUAAACACUAAAAUAGAAGCGAUGAGAAAUAUUUGAGAGAAUACAUAUCACUGAUUCUAAUCUGGACAGAGAAUUAAGUGAUACAUCUACUGCAAAUAAAAUAAUUUUAUCAGAUUUAGAAGAACCUGAUGUAUCGAAGCAUGAAUUAGAAACAGAAAUGUUAUUUUCUGAUCGUGAUGACAUAAUCAUAGCAAACAAAGAACAUCAUGCAGC
rnacentral:misc_RNA from 1 species